AGAGUUUGAUCAUGGCUCAGAACGAACGCUGGCGGCAUGGAUUAGGCAUGCAAGUCGAACGCUUGUAGCAAUACAGGAGUGGCGAAAGGGUGAGGAACACGUGAGUAACUUGCCCCCAAGUUGGGAAUAACUCCGGGAAACUGGUGCUAAUACCGAAUGUGAUUAUAAGGUCGCAUGACUUUAUGAUUAAAGAUUUAUCGCUUGGGGAUAGGCUCGCGUUCCAUUAGCUAGUUGGUAAGGUAACGGCUUACCAAGGCAAUGAUGGAUAGCUGGUCUGAGAGGAUGGCCAGCCACACUGGGACUGAGACACUGCCCAGACUCCUACGGGAGGCUGCAGUCGAGAAUCUUCCGCAAUGGGCGAAAGCCUGACGGAGCAAUGCCGCGUGUAGGAUGAAGGUUUUCGGAUCGUAAACUACUGUCACCAGGGACGAAAAAAAUGACGGUACCUGGAGAGGAAGCCACGGCAAACUACGUGCCAGCAGCCGCGGUAAUACGUAGGUGGCGAGCGUUGUUCGGAUUUAUUGGGCGUAAAGGGUCCGCAGGGGGUUUGUCAAGUCUGAUGUGAAAUCCCGUGGCUCAACCACGGAAUUGCAUUGGAAACUAGCAGACUAGAGUGCUGGAGAGGUAAACGGAAUUCCAGGUGUAGCGGUGGAAUGCGUAGAUAUCUGGAAGAACACCAAAAGCGAAGGCAGUUUACUGGACAGAUACUGACCCUCAGGGACGAAAGCGUGGGGAGCAAACAGGAUUAGAUACCCUGGUAGUCC
rnacentral:rRNA from 1 species